rnacentral:rRNA from 1 species
UACGUAGGGGGCAAGCGUUAUCCGGAUUUACUGGGUGUAAAGGGAGCGUAGGUGGCAUGGUAAGCCAGAAGUGAAAACCCGGGGCUCAACCCCGCGGAUUGCUUUUGGAACUAUCAGGCUGGAGUGCUGGAGGGGUAAGCGGAAUUCCUAGUGUAGCGGUGAAAUGCGUAGAUAUUAGGAGGAACACCGGUGGCGAAGGCGGCUUACUGGACAGAAACUGACACUGGGGCUCGAAAGCGUGGGGAGCAAACAGG